CCUACGGGUGGCAGCAGUGGGGAAUAUUGCACAAUGGGGGAAACCCUGAUGCAGCGACGCCGCGUGAGUGAAGAAGUAAUUCGUUAUGUAAAGCUCUAUCAUCAGGGAAGAAAAUGACGGUACCUGAGUAAGAAGCCCCGGCUAACAACGGGCCAGCAGCCGCGGUAAUACGCAGGGGGCAAGCGUUAUCCGGAUUUACGGGGUGGAAAGGGAGCGUAGACGGCAGUGCAAGUAUGGAGUGAAAGGCGGGGGCUCAACCCCCGGACUGCUCUGGAAACUGUACGGCUGGAGUGCAGGAGAGGUAAGUGGAAUUCCUGGUGUAGCGGUGAAAUGCGUAGAUAUUAGGAGGAACACCAGUGGCGAAGGCGGCUUACUGGACUGUAACUGACGUUGAGGCUCGAAAGCGUGGGGAGCAAACAGGAUUAGAUACCCGGGUAGUC
rnacentral:rRNA from 1 species